AUCUCUAGCCUCAGCCUAUUAAGUACCUGGGGGUUAUCGGCAUGCACAACUGUGCUCAGCAAAAAAUUAAAACAUAAAGUGUAUUUGGAAAUUAAAAUAGGGAGCAAUGAGUUUCACUGUGUUUAAGUCAUAUGACUAUUUCCUUUGUGUCCUUUUUUUUUUUUAAAGACAUAAUCUAGAGACGGUUAAGAACAUGCCCCUCAAAGGAUAAACAACCCAAACCCAAGAGGAAGAACCUAUUUUCGGUGGGAACUGAGGAUCAGCUAGACUGACUUUUGGGGGAGGAAAUGGAGAUCAGAAUAAGAAUUUAGUGUUAGGGCUCUGGGUCUUUCAGUGUCAUACUCAAAAUGCUCUUCUCCCUGGUUUCAAAAGUGACUGAGAAAGGGGAAAGUGCCUGUUUGUGCUUCUCAAGUGCUCAGUAAGCCUCCUUUUAUUCCUGCCACGAUUACUCCAGAGAGGACCUGUCACAUUGAACUCAGAGGAUGAGGUAAUUAUAUGCAGUUUAGAGAACUGCACUUGAGGAUCCAGCACUCAUUCUGUAGAGACACGAUUAAACCAAUCGGGCUGGAAAUUCCUAGAGCUGUUUCUUACAGGACCAAUCGUUUUCUCUAAUAUCCUUUGCUACCGUUAUUGGUACAUUAUGGGGUUGACAUGCCCAUGCAGCCCUGCACAGUGACACAUGAUUUCCAAGGAAGUUCACUUAGCAGCUUGCAGCCCUGAUUAAGAAAUAAGUAGAAAAAUGUGCUGAGUUUCUCCCUGUAAUCUGUUGUCCUCGCCACCCCCACCUCCAUGGCACACCACCGCCAUGACACAUCACCUCCAUGGCACACCACCGCCAUGACACACCACCGCCAUGACAUACCACUGCCUUACUUUUCCACUUCCUUUUAACCACACUCUACAUCCUAGCUCUUCCAGCUGCAUUAUCAGCAUUAAGCACAAAUAGAUCUUUUCCUCUCUAGGCAAGUGGUUAUUUUUCUCAUUCUCAACUCAAACUCAUGGCUUCUUUCCCCAACAACGGAGAGUCUACUACUCACUGCAUAUCAUUAUAUGCUGUGUCCUCUGCUCUCCCUCUCUCACCUAUUUGUUUGGUGUAGGUUGCCAUCAGUGACCUACACUGGGAUGCAUUGAUAGGAUGAACACAUGCUGAGAAGUGCAGGUCCACUUUGUCACCUGUCUAUUAGUGACUGUCAUUGGUGUCUCUGCUUCUCCUAUAUAAAGAGUUCAAUACCCUGGAAAAUUGUUAUCUAUAUAUAAACUUUCUCCCAAUGCAGUUUCUUGAAGAAUCAAUGGCAGAAUGGCAGAUUGUUCUGAUCAUUAUGGAGCAAGUGGAGAAUCCUUCCGUUUUGAGUGGCCAUGUACUUUUAACAAGGUUGUUUUGUUUUUGUGUGUGUGUAUGGUUUUUUUGUUUGUUUGUUUGUUUUUGUUUUUGUUUUUGUUUUUUUGAGGGCCAUGUCAUUUGAGGGCGGGAAUUUUGUGAAUGAUCUUCAUUAUUCUCAUCUAUCAAGUGAACCAACCAGAGCACAUGAGAAAACUAGGUAAUCAGUGGAGGAUAUGCUACUAGUGGUUGCACAGCUAACUUCAGGGUUAUGUUUUCUCUGCAAGGCACUCAGCUGCAUUAUCAAUAGAUUUUUUGCAUUACAAUGUAUCAUGGCAGUAAAUAAAGAGCAAAACACCUAUCUGCUCUAUUUUAAAUCUACUUCCACACUAUUUAUGCUGUAACUGGAUCUGUCUAGACAUCCACAUUAUAGUAGUGAUUUUAUGGGGAGUUUAUGCCUCACUCUAUCCAUUUACCUCUUGAGUAAAUGGCACAAAGACAUCAGAUUUUAUUAACAGGAUGCUGACACUACUCUGGGCGAUUGUAAACAUUUUAACCUGACUAGUCUAUUAAUAAGCAGAUAAAUGUGCCAUGUGUAUCCUCAGUGUGAGCUUCUCUUAGUCUCCUGCUCAUGAUUCAUCCGCAUGAUCCAUUAUGCCCCAUAGCAAACUCCUUCUUCCCUUCCCUUCCCUUCCCUUCCCUUCCCUUCCUUCCCUUCCCUUGUGGUCCCUACACAACAUUUCCUCACUCUCUCCUAAGUUCUGCCUUCCUCUCUCCCCUGCCCAGUCACAGGCACACUCGCCAAUUAGACAUUAUUGACAAGAAGUCUUAAUAGCACAUUGGUCAAUACAAUGUCCAUGUCCAGACUGCAAUCUGACCUUGGGGCAGAGAACUCAGCAUUUGAGUACACAGCGCACAGGACUAACCCCAAUACCAUAACACACACGUCAUAACACAUUCAGAAGUGAGCAACUCUUAUAUUUCCCAGUAAACUUGUUUUAAUGAGUGAAAGUGAAAUUCUUGAAGUGAACUAAGUUAGAAAGACAAUAUGUAAAACUAUUUCAGUGACUCAAAAUUCACAUAGAAUUCACUAGCAUAAAACUGUUCAAAAUGGUGCCCAGCAAAAGGAUUAUUGAAAUACUUAUAAAGGAUGAGGUAGAAGUAUAUGACUUGGGUCACUGAUAUUCCUCCACGGUGGCACUUCAGGUGUCAUUAAGCUAUUUGUAGAAAUAUACCAUAAGCUGCUAAGGCAGAUUAUUGGAGAGUCAUCACAACACUGUAUACGGGGGAGAUGGUCAAUCAGUAAGAUGUAGAAACUAGUAUCUGCUCUCCCUUUAUGCAUUCUGGCAUAAAGCCCCUAAAGUUCUUGCAAUUUCCAAAGUAACAAAUAUCUUCUGAAUGGCAGUGAGGUACUGAAGACUCUCAGUCCACUGGUGGUCUCAGCAUGGGAACUGGUCACAACAGCAAGACCAAAGCAUGGUUACGCGAUUGAUAGAUACCUAACUCUGGGACCAAUAAAGGGAUGGAGGUUAAGUUGAUCAGUGAUGUUAACUGGCCCAGCUUAUUUAUUGAAGCCUCCAUGUAAACUCAAAAGGGACAGGGUUGGGAAAGUUUCACUUAGCCUGAGGUGCUUCCUGGAAAGCAGAGCGCUAGAAAGGGUAUGGACGCUGGGUGGACCUUCUUCCUUACUUUGUUGUAUCUUUUAAAAUAUACUGGCAAAUCUAUGGAAGACAUUGCAUUGAGUUCUGUGGGAGGCAUUAGCAGCCGGUUUAUCCUGAGUUGGAGAAGCUCAGGAACCUGGUUUAUACAUAGGUGGUUGGUCAAAAGCAUGGGAAAACAGCCUGGAGCUCACAUUAGGAGGGAGACCUUUAACCUGCGGGGUCUGGUGACGGCACAGACACAGUACCUGGCCUGAUCUACACUGAACUGAGGCUACACCGCUGUGUGUAUUACACACUCACCUGCCUGCUUGGACUCUGUGGAAACAUUUUUCCUUCAUACCUUCUGGUCUGUGGGGGCAUUCAUUUUCUGUAUUCUUAGAGACAGAUGAUCAGACAUAAGUGC
rnacentral:lncRNA from 1 species